CCUACGGGGGGCUGCUGGUGGACCCCUACCUCAAUUUAAAGAGCACUCUGUUUGCUAUAGGCGAUUGCGCCUGGGUGGAGAUCGAUGGCCGUCUGGCCACCAAGACCGGUCUGGAGGCGGAGAGGCAGGCCAAGUACCUCGCUCGCCAUCUCUCUCAUCUGAUAAAAGGUAGGGCCCUGGAGAGGUAUUCGGUCCGGGCCCGCACAGACAGCCAGGUAGCGCUCAUAUCCCUGGGCUCGGACGGCGCAGUGGGUGUGGUGGGGAAGACCUGCAUUGGAUGGCCCACCAGGCUGAUCUACUCUCUGAAGAGCGGGAUCGAUAAGUCAUUUAUCAAGAGAUUUAAGUAGAAUAUAGGGUUUCGAUCCGUCUUCAGCCAACUAAGACCCGACCAUGCCGGUCGAUCUUCCCCUCAGAUACCCGGGUAGUC
rnacentral:rRNA from 1 species